GACGAACGCUGGCGGCGUGCUUAACACAUGCAAGUCGAACGGACAGACCCUGCUUUUGUGGGGCGCUCGAGUGGCGAACGGGUGAGUAACACGUGAGUAUCCUGCCCUUGUCUUUGUGAUAACUUCAGGAAACUGCGGCUCAUACCGGAUAGAAGCUCCUGCUGCACGGUGGGGGUUGGAAAGUUUCGGCGGUUGGGGAUGGACUCGCGGCUUAUCCGCUUGUUGGUGGGGUAGUGGCUUACCAAGGCUUUGACGGGUAGCCGGCCUGAGAGGGUGACCGGCCACAUUGGGACUGAGAUACGGCCCAGACUCCUACGGGAGGCAGCAGUGGGGAAUAUUGCACAAUGGGCGGAAGCCUGAUGCAGCAACGCCGCGUGCGGGAUGACGGCCUUCGGGUUGUAAACCGCUUUCGCCUGUGACGAAGCGUGAGUGACGGUAAUGGGUAAAGAAGCACCGGCUAACUACGUG
rnacentral:rRNA from 1 species